rnacentral:rRNA from 1 species
UACGAAGGGGGCUAGCGUUGCUCGGAAUCACUGGGCGUAAAGGGCGCGUAGGCGGCCGAUCAAGUCGGGGGUGAAAGCCUGUGGCUCAACCACAGAAUUGCCUUCGAUACUGUUUGGCUUGAGACCGGAAGAGGUAAGUGGAACUGCGAGUGUAGAGGUGAAAUUCGUAGAUAUUCGCAAGAACACCAGUGGCGAAGGCGGCUUACUGGUCCGGUUCUGACGCUGAGGCGCGCAAGCGUGGGGAGCAAACAGG